UAAGGAAUAUUGCUCAAUGGGAGAAAUCCUGAAGCAGCAACGCCGCGUGGAGGAUGAAGGGUCUAUGACUUGUAAACUCCUGUAAAGAAGGAAAAAAUUCCCAUUAGAUGGGAGAUGAUGGUACUUCUGGAGUAAGCCCCGGCUAACUACGUGCCAGCAGCCGCGGUAAUACGUAGGGGGCAAGCGUUGUCCGGAUUUACUGGGUGUAAAGGGUGCUCAGGCUGAUUUGUAAGUCAGAGGUGAAAUCUUACAGCUUAACUGUGAAACUGCCUUUGAUACUGCAAGCCUAGAGUAUGGAAGAGAGUGAUGGAAUAUCUGGUGUAGCAGUGAAAUGCGUAGAUAUCAGAUAGAACACCAAUGGCGAAGGCAGUCACUUGGUCCAUUACUGACGCUAAAGCACGAAAGCGUGGGUAGCAAACA
rnacentral:rRNA from 1 species